CGAAAGGAGAUCGACGAUAGAGAAGUGUCUGGACUGAAGAAUUGACAAGGGAGUAAGAACCAUGAAGAACUGCCUUUCUCGAUUACUCAUCAUUGUCUCACUUCUCAAAUACAGUUACGAAGACACAGUGGAGCAGUCAAUUCCUGAAAUGACGGUUGAGGAAGGAACUAAUGUCACAAUCACCUGCAAAUUGAAGACAAGUACUACUAAUCCUUAUGUUUACUGGUACAGUCAGCCCCCAGGGCAGCCUCCACAAUACGUCGUUUACAUGCUUACAGCUGGAAUGGUAAACAGGAAUCCUGACUUCUCUGAUCGUUUUUCUUUGACAUUUGAUAAAACUACGAAGAUUACCGAGUUAGCGAUCAGUAAUGCCUUCAACACUGACUCUGCUGUGUAUUUCUGUGCCAUGAGCCUCACACUGGCGCAGACAGAUAGCAGAGCACGUCAAAAACCCACUCAGUAUUCCCGUUAG